CAGUCGACGGCAGCCGGGUGCUUGCACCUGGUGGCGAGUGGCGAACGGGUGAGUAAUACAUCGGAACAUGUCCUGUAGUGGGGGAUAGCCCGGCGAAAGCCGGAUUAAUACCGCAUACGAUCCACGGAUGAAAGCGGGGGACCUUCGGGCCUCGCGCUAUAGGGUUGGCCGAUGGCUGAUUAGCUAGUUGGUGGGGUAAAGGCCUACCAAGGCGACGAUCAGUAGCUGGUCUGAGAGGACGACCAGCCACACUGGGACUGAGACACGGCCCAGACUCCUACGGGAGGCAGCAGUGGGGAAUUUUGGACAAUGGGCGAAAGCCUGAUCCAGCAAUGCCGCGUGUGUGAAGAAGGCCUUCGGGUUGUAAAGCACUUUUGUCCGGAAAGAAAUCCCUGGCUCUAAUACAGUCGGGGGAUGACGGUACCGGAAGAAUAAGCACCGGCUAACUACGUGCCAGCAGCCGCGGUAAUACGUAGGGUGCGAGCGUUAAUCGGAAUUACUGGGCGUAAAGCGUGCGCAGGCGGUCUGUUAAGACAGAUGUGAAAUCCCCGGGCUCAACCUGGGAACUGCAUUUGUGACUGGCAGGCUAGAGUAUGGCAGAGGGNGGUAGAAUUCCACGUGUAGCAGUGAAAUGCGUAGAGAUGUGGAGGAAUACCGAUGGCGAAGGCAGCCCCCUGGGC
rnacentral:rRNA from 1 species